rnacentral:rRNA from 1 species
GUAUAUGACUACAUUAUAUAUGACUGUAACAUCAAGUCCGAUCCCAUCUGAUCUUGGAAACUAAGCGAGGUCAGGCCUGGUUACUACUUGGAUGGGAGACCACGUAGGAAGACCAGGUGUUAUAGGCA